GACGAACGCUGGCGGCGUGCCUAAUACAUGCAAGUUGAGCGAUGAAGCUUGGUGCUUGCACCAAUUUGAAGAGCAGCGAACGGGUGAGUAACGCGUGGGGAAUCUGCCUUUGAGCGGGGGACAACAUUUGGAAACGAAUGCUAAUACCGCAUAACAACUUUAAACAUAAGUUUUAAGUUUGAAAGAUGCAAUUGCAUCACUCAAAGAUGAUCCCGCGUUGUAUUAGCUAGUUGGUGAGGUAAAGGCUCACCAAGGCGAAGAUACAUAGCCGACCUGAGAGGGUGAUCGGCCACAUUGGGACUGAGACACGGCCCAAACUCCUACGGGAGGCAGCAGUAGGGAAUCUUCGGCAAUGGACGAAAGUCUGACCGAGCAACGCCGCGUGAGUGAAGAAGGUUUUCGGAUCGUAAAACUCUGUUGGUAGAGAAGAACGUUGGUGAGAGUGGAAAGCUCAUCAAGUGACGGUAACUACCCAGAAAGGGACGGCUAACUACGUG
rnacentral:rRNA from 1 species